GCUCGAAUGCCCAUUUUCUUCUCUCGAUUGUGUUUUCUCGCGCCAUGAUGUUUCAUCUUGAUCGCGCGCGCCAUCUAGUGCUCGUUCAACUCUUGGAUCGGAUUUGAGAACAUAUUUAGCUGCCAUUGUGUUUUUAACGUCACAGCAAAGGGAACCGACGCAAAAAAAAGAGAGAUGACUAUGAAGACAUUUUGGAAGAGAGGAGGAACUCCAGCGACUUGAAAUAUGCAUUCGGGUGCUAUUCACCGGUUCUUUACAAGGGACUCACUGCCUGCAACGCAAACAUGCUCAAGAAUAUCGUCUAUUCUGAUCAGCUACGCUAUGUGAUUAAUCAGGUGUCACAAGAGUCUGGCGAAGCCCCUGACAUCAGCCAGGAAGAGUCCUGUGUCAUUCUGGAGGAGAUGGCCUAUCGGCUCCAGAUCAGCACCGUCCACUUCUUUGCCUUCACCCUCAGCAAGGACUUCAAAAUGCUCUUGCAACAUGUCUAUAUUAACAUGUAGUAUUAAUUAGUCUGAGGUCUGUUAUGAAUCUAAUGCAAAGUAGUACAUUAAGGAUUAUGGGGCAUGUGGGAUAUUAACUAUUUUCCCUGUUAAUAAAGUUAAUUCAUAUCCA